rnacentral:lncRNA from 1 species
AUGACCUCUGUUGGAAUAAGCCAACUACACAUAUUGCUAGGGCUCAGCCUUGGAGCAAGACAUAGGGAUUGGACGAUCGUGUGUCUCCGCCUCGUGGCCAUGUCUGGAAUCACACAUCCUGGAUCCCAAGCCCCUCUUAGUUGCUACCCCUGGUCAGUCACUGCAAAAGGAACUCUGUAUUUUGGACGAUCGUGUGUCUCCGCCUCGUGGCCAUGUCUGGAAUCACACACCCUGGGAUCUCAAGCCCCUCUUAGUUGCUGCACCUGGUCAGUCACUGCAAAAGGAACUCUGUAUUUUGGACGAUCGUGUGUCUCCGCCUCGUGGCCAUGUCUGGAAUCACACAUCCUGGAUCCCAAGCCCCUCUUAGUUGCUACCCCUGGUCAGUCACUGCAAAAGGAACUCUGUAUUUUGGACGAUCGUGUGUCUCCGCCUCGUGGCCAUGUCUGGAAUCACACACUCUGGAUCCCAAGCCUUUCUUACUUGCUCCAACUGGUCAGUCACUGCAAAAGGAAUUCUGCAUUUUCCAGGUCAGUGCAGCUGAGAAGGGGAAGGUCCUGAAAUAGAAGAAAGAUUAGGAAAACUCUUGCUCAGCUUUGCAAUCCCCCUGCCCCCAUCCACCCACCCUGUCAUUAGGCUGAAAGAAAACUCAAUUCCUCCUCUACCUUAACUUCACUUAUUUGGUGUCCAAUUGCCUUUUCCCAAUUCCUGGGUUUUCCCAGCCUGACUUCUGCGGGGCAAAGGGAAGGGUAGUCAGACCCCCUGUGGCUGAUGUAAUGCAUUUGAGCAGGUCUUAAAUCUCACCUCUGCCUCACCCAGCUCCGGGGUCCAGGGUUGUCAUCCGAGGCCACUGAGUCUCUGUUUUCUCAUCACUAACCAGUCACUGCCCAGUGGCCCUUCUGUGCCAGGCUCAGAAGCAAGCUCUUCUUCUUCUUCUUCUUUUUUUAUUUAUUUUUAUUUUUUGCUUUUUAGGGCCGCACCCACGGCAUAUGGAGAUUCCCAGGCUAGGGGUCGAAUUGGAGCUACAGCGGCCAGCCUAUGCCACAGCCACAGCAACACCAGAUCCUUAACCCACUGAGCGAGGCAAGGGAUCGAACCCACAACCUCAUGGUUCCCAGUCAGAUUCGUUUCCGCUGUGCCACGACAGGAACUCCAAGAAGCAAGCUCUUCUUCAAGGCUCUCCCAGCUCUGCGUCCCACUGGCCACACUGUUUUAUUGCCUCAGAGACUCUUGCCAGGUGCCCUUGACCUGGACUCGUACUGUUUGCGAGUUCUUCACGGCCAGGUCUUGGAUUUAAUGCUCUUCCCAGAUGCUUUGAAUCUGACCCUGCAGACUGUCCUCUUUUCGCUGCCUAUCCAGGCCACCCCUCAGCUCAGGGCAAGAACCCACAGCUCAAUCCCCAAGCUCAGGCCAAAGGAAAAGCCUGGGUGCCCAGGUGUCUGGGGAACAGUAUAGGAGGGGAUGGCGCCCAGGAUUGCUGAGAUGGUGUGGGUGCACCUAGGAGAGGCCUUAGACCGGCAG